rnacentral:rRNA from 1 species
GAUGAACGCUGGCGGCGUGCCUAAUACAUGCAAGUCGAGCGAACAGACGAGGAGCUUGCUCCUCUGACGUUAGCGGCGGACGGGUGAGUAACACGUGGAUAACCUACCUAUAAGACUGGGAUAACUUCGGGAAACCGGAGCUAAUACCGGAUAAUAUAUUGAACCGCAUGGUUCACUAGUGAAAGACGGUUUUGCUGUUACUUAUAGAUGGAUCCGCGCCGCAUUAGCUAGUUGGUAGGGUAACGGCUUACCAAGGCGACGAUGCGUAGCCGACCUGAGAGGGUGAUCGGCCACACUGGAACUGAGACACGGUCCAGACUCCUACGGGAGGCAGCAGUAGGGAAUCUUCCGCAAUGGGCGAAAGCCUGACGGAGCAACGCCGCGUGAGUGAUGAAGGCCUUCGGAUCGUAAAACUCUGUUAUUAGGGAAGAACAAAUGUGUAAGUAACUAUGCACGGCUUGACGGUACCUAAUCAGAAAGCCACGGCUAACUACGUG